UGUGCAUGUCAGUAUUGGUAACUUGCGUAAUUCUAAAACGUUUCCUGUAAGUCAUCUUUUAAAGAAGUCUAGUCUUGUUCAUCUGCAAAACAGAAAAAACCGGGGUUCACUCUCAACGCUUUUACUAAUGUGUGGAGUAAAACAAUAUAGCCAGCUGGCCGUGGUCUGCAUUUGAAGUCUUGGAGGUUGAGACGGAGUACCUUCCAUCUUCUUUUACUGAAAACUGAAAUAUUAAAGGUUACUCCUGCCAACUUUAAGUCUACUAGAAU